UACGGGGGGGGCAAGCGUUGUUCGGAAUUACUGGGCGUAAAGGGCUCGUAGGCGGCCAACUAAGUCAGACGUGAAAUCCCCAGGCUCAACCUGGGAACUGCGUCUGAUACUGGAUGGCUUGAAUCCGGGAGAGGGAUGCAGAAUUCCAGGUGUAGCGGUGAAAUGCGUAGAUAUCUGGAGGAAUACCGGUGGCGAAGGCGGCAUCCUGGACCGGCAUUGACGCUGAGGCACGAAAGCGUGGGGAGCAAACAGG
rnacentral:rRNA from 1 species